CAUCACUCAGACCAUUCAGCAGUACUUGCGCAUAGGCUCAUGCAAUAGGAAAGAGCUUCAGUCACUGAUUGGCUCGCUAAAUUUUGCCAUCCGUAUUAUACCCCAAGGAAGAGCAUUCAUUUCCAGACUCCUGUGCCUUCUUCCGACACUAACUGACGAACACAAACGUACCACUCUUGAUAUGCAAGCCACAGCAGACUUACACAUGUGAAACGUGUUCCUGUCAAACUGGAAUGGCAGGAGCAUGUUCCUCCCCCAAGUCACAGAGUAUUCCCCUACCAUUUGGACUGAUGCAGCAGCCUCCACAGGUUUUGCAGCUAUUUUUGGGGACAACUGGCUAUGGGGUAGAUGGCUGGAAGAAGUUAAGCAAAU